AUGAACUUUGUCACACCUUUAAGUCAUGAUUAUCCAAAAUGUUUGACUGUGUAUUCGUAGCUAACAUUACUCUGUGUUUGAGCAUCAAGCUAACGUUAGUUUAUUGCAAUGUUAGCUUCGUGUAAAGUUAGCUGUCCUUUAGCUGGCUAGCUAGCUAGCCAAAAACAACUAAAGAAUGACCUGAGAAAGUGUGCCAACUACAGGCAAGGAAUCUGAGAUGGAACUGGCCAGAGGAGGGCGACACCUGCUGGUUCUCUUCAGAUCUCCUGCAGCAAAUUGGCGGGGAAAAAGCCAAGCUUUCGACCCGUACUGACCUUCAGGUAGCCGUUCACCUCCUCUCCCUUCUUCACCACAAUCUGAGGAGAGACAACAAAAUAAACAUUCUUAGCCGGAAA